UUCAUUGUCCUCCUUUUCGGGUCAACGUUCAUCAUCUUCUUCUUCUUCAGAAAACCCAAACUCGUGGGUACUAUUCAUUAGUCAAGAAGUCUGAUUUCGAAAGCUCAAAUCAGCAAAGUUCCUUCAUCAAAGUUGUUCGUCUGUUCGAAUACUAUAUCAUACCCAAACAUGAGCAUCAUCAGACGGGUCUAGCUACCUCGAAAAGCUUGUUUCUGCAGCUCGGUUUUCAACAGUUUUCUUUAAUCUCCAGUGCUCGUUUGACAAAACGACCUUCUCUAAGGUUGUUCCUCAGUUUGAGAACUAUGACAUAUCCAAAAAUCAGAGCAAUCCAACUACUCUAGCUAUGUCUGUGAUGACAAUACUUCCUUCAUGAAGGUCGUUCAAAAGUCUUUUCGGCAGUGGUACACCUGAAACAAGCUUUUGUUAGUUUUCAAGUGUUGUUUGAGUUGGUUAUUUUAUUUCUCUUUGGGAGCUUCACCCAGUAUUUCGGACCAAUAUUAAGUAUUUGUAGGUAGUUGUUGUAUGGCGUUAGUGAAAUACUGAGCAUUCGGAUUGUGGAUAGUGCUAAUUUGCUGCUAACUUCAGGAAAUUAUCUUUAAGGCUUUUGGAAGAAUGGAUGCAGCAGAUUUUUUGUAAGGAUAUUAUCUUUAUGUGUAUUUUUGUGAUGAGUUGUAAUCUUUAAUUUCAUAAGUUUAAUUUGGUUUGUGUAUUAUUUUUUGUAAUGGUUUGUAAGAGAUUAUAUUUCCUUUCCUUGGUUGGUUGGUUAAAUGUGUGAAUGUGAGAUUCAUUUAGUUUAGAAA